CUCUCGUGCACUCAGGCUCCAUCUUCCUUCCAACCCCACUUCUCCCCAACCCGAACCCCAACAAGGGUUCUCGGCGACGCGUCGGCCGCGGGAGAUGGCCACCGCGGCGAAGCUGCCGUCCCUUUACGCCGAGCUCGCCGCCAAGUCCUCUCGCGUCGCAGAGCUGGAGGUCAGGAUCUCGGCCCUCGAAACCGAGAACGCGGGCUUGAGGGAGGCCCUGGCGGUUGCGAGACGAGAAUCAAUGGGCAGUACAGGAAAGGAGGAGGACCCAAUCUCUCGCCAAUUGGCGGCACGCCUACGCGGAAUCGAGCACGGGGCGGUCGAGAAGCCGGGCUGGGGCGUGGCUCGCCGCGACGCAAUUGAGGUCAGCGACGACGAGGAGGGCGCUGCGGCUGUCGGUGCUAACAAGGGGGAAAGCCCGGACGAGGGUGUCGGUGCCGUCCCGGCUCUUCGGAAGCGGGUGGUGGCCGGAGAGAGCGUGGGUGAAGCUGAUGCGGAGGACGCGGAGGGAGGCGGUGGAAACAACGGGGAGAGCAGCGCGGGUCUGGAGGAUGACGAUGUUUCGGUCACACCGCGGGGGAAGAAGCGUGGCCGCCGGUCGGCCGUGGCGCAGGUGGUCACCAGUGAUAGCGAGGAUGAUGGUGUGAAUGGUGGUGGUGGUGUCGAGGAUCAGUUUGGGAGUGCCAAGGACGGCAGCGGUGAUCAGGAGGGCCUCAUGAGCAGUAGGAAGCGUGCCUUUCGCGGAGUCAGUGACAGUGAGGAUGAGGAUGCCUAUGAGGGCGUUGCUCCACGGCACACUGAGAGUGGGGAGGAGGAUGUGGAUGAUAUGGUUCCCAUCGAUGAAUUGCUGAAAAGGGUGCCAAAAGAGAGGGCCAGUGAGGAUGACGGCGAAUCCGAAGGGCAUUCCACUCCUGUGACGAGGCGUUCUGCUCGAUUGGUUAAGAAUCAGUCAAAAUCUUACCGCAUGUUUCGUGGAGUCAGUGACAGUGAGGAUGAAGAUGACAAUGAGGGAACAGCUGCGCCUCAGGGCAAGAGUGGGGACAAGGAGGAGGAGGAUAUGGUUCCCGUCUAUAAAUUGCUCAAGAGGAUGCCAAAUGAGAGAGCGAGUGAGGACGACGAUGAAUCAGAUCUGGCCAAAGGGCAUUCCGCUCCUGCGACGAGGCGUUCUGCUCGGUUGGCUAAGAAUCAGUCAAAAUCCUACCGCGUAUUUUGUGGAGUCAGUGACAGUGAGGACAAGGAUGGCGAUGAGGGCACAACUGCGCCUCAGACUGAGAACCGGGACGAGGAUGAGGAGGAUAUGGUUCCCAUCUAUAAAUCGCUGAAGAGGAUGCCAAAAGAGAGGGUGAGUGAAGAUGGCGAUGAAUCUGAUGUGGCCAAAGGGCAUUCAGCCCCUGCAUCAAGACGUUCUGCUCGAUUGGUUAAGAACCAGUCAAUAAGGCCAAGAGCUGCAUGUCCGGGGCUCCACUUUGUUGAACCACCCAAGGAUGUUGAAGGGAGUGAAGAUGAUAUGGAAGAAGACGAUGAUAUGAAUGAGUUCAUAAAUGAUGAAUCUUCUGAUAAUGCUAGUGAUUCUGCCGAGAAAUCCUGUGAUGAAUCAGAUGUACCAUCUGUUAUGAAUGAAAAAUCCUCUCCAGGACUAGAAGUGUCUGAUGGUGAGGUGGACUAUAAAGAUGUAAUGGCUUGCAUUGGCCGUAAAAAGAAAGCUAAAGAGUGGGACUACGAGGCAGAUAUGCUAGCAGCAUUUGGUGAACAUCCCGAGCUUUGCUUGAAGGCUGUUUGUGCCCUCUACCGGAAGCAAACUGAGGAUGAACAGGUGGAAAAGGCUUCUUUAGUUCAUAAUAAGCAGGGAUUUAGCCACAAAGAUGCCCCAAGGGGAUCUCGCAUUGCAGAAUUUCUUCUGGAUGGUGAUCUGGUUGGUCCGCUGAAGAAGACCGUCUCGGAUCUAGACGAGUAUGAUCGCUAUGCUUUUGAGUUCUGUCGCAAGGUGGCUUCGCACUACUCAAAACAACUUUUUGCAAUCUACCAGAACAAGGAGGACCCUUACUUUCAUCCAUAGCCCUGGUAAUGCUUAGUAUCCCGCCAACUGCCUGCUACACUCUUUUGUACAUACAGUACGUGUUGAAUUGCACUCCUGGAGAAGUUAGGACAUGUUAAAUGUAGUUUAGGAGAAUGUAGAGAGGCCUUAGGAGUGUUGGUUAGGAAGACAAAUGUCUUGUGGUGUCUGUGUUAUGAUGGUCUUGUCCAUGUUACAAUCCUGUUUAAUAUACGCCAGUAAGAUACUCUGUUUACUGAGUUGGUGGGGGCAUGAAUCCUUCUCUUCUCCAAAUGGAUGCUCUGUGUCCUGGCUACACAUCUUCGACGUUGGGCCCUGUCGCCCUGCAUCUUGUUGGGGCUGGCAUUCAAGUUGGCUGAUAUGAGGCCUGAUCUCCCAUUUUAUUUUAGAUAGCAUAGAACAUGGAGUUGUUGGCUCAUGCCUCUACGAUCAGCAGGUGGCAAAAGCCCUUCUGUGCAAAACAUGAUCAACGACAUGCAAGUCUGAAAGUAUUGCCUCAAGCCUUUUGUGACAUGCAGUCGCAAUGUCGGUUGAUGCGAAUAGGAAAGGCUUGUGGCGCGAAUACAAGGCAAAUGGACAUAAGAAGAAGAGAGCGACCUGGGCAGGGGCAGAGGUAGGCAGCAGAUCUUACUCAAUCCCGUGUCCCCUGUCCACAGAAAGAGGGCUGGUUCUGGGAUUCCGGCAGCCACCCCUAGGAUGGUCCUCUCUCCUCUGGCUCCUCCGUCCGUAGACCUCACGGCACAGUCCUGACCAUGCUGCCCGUGUUUGUUUCUCUCCUUGUCAACACUCCAGAGUCUGGGCCUCUCUUGCCCCUGUUCCAAAAUGAAGGCCGACAAGAUCUCCGGUUCCCUGCCUCUGCCUGGCCUUGCAUGCUGCCAUGCUGGCUGGAAACCAUCCCGGCCCUCUCUACCUGUGUGACAAGGAAACCACCACCGAGCUGCAAUGUAAAGAAGGCGUGUGUUUGAAGAUCAUGGUGACGGAAAUAGUUGUCAGCAGGGUGACAUCCUGCUGGGUGCUGGCCUUAUCCUCGCUCGAUCAGCACAAGAACAUUGAUGGUGUCUCUGUCACCACCUACUGCUAUUUGCUCCUAUUUUACCGUGCUCAGCACACAGCCCACUCCAGUCCACUCCAGUCGUGUGUGACCUGCUCCGUCCGCCGCACCGAAUCACCUCUUCUCCUCGCCCCUGUCCUCCUCCUGUCAAACCUCGCAGGUAGACGACACCAUGCCAGAGACGGAGAAGAUGCAGGAUGCCUUCUGCGGCGAGGCGGGACACGCUGGAUCCUCAGAGACAACGACAGCGCCGAGUACCUCUGCUGCUGGGCCACACCUCCGCGGCGUUCCCCAUGGAGGAUGGCAGGCCGCUGCAGUUCAUCUUCAGCAGCCGGCAGUAAACCACCAGGGGCGGGCUGGCGACCACCACGACCACCACCAACGUGUACCGGAGCGAGGAGUUCAUUCCCACCAUGCGCACCAUCGAGUCGCAGGCGUGCAGCCCGGAGGCGGUCAUCUUCGGUGAUGACUUCGCGCGGUCUCUCUACUGCCAUCUCCUUUGCGGACGGGAUUGACUCCCCGGUCUCAGACAAGGCACGGAGGGAGGCCUCACUUUCAGAGAAAGCAGAUGGCUCUUUAAUUUGGUAACAGUGCAUGUGGACAGGCACUCUUCUUCUUUGGAACCUACACCACUGAUGCCCACUGUCUGAAUACAUUAAACUUGGCUGAAUGACAAGAGCCACGGGUGAUGCAGCUACAUCUUGGCAUAGCUGUACCGGUGCCAUCUAGAGGACGUGGUGAAGGUGGCCGGGUUCUACAACUCGACGCCGAAGCUCAAGUUCGUGUGCCGGCUCAACCUGAUGUUGAGCAUCAACGUCGACAAGAACAGCGAGCAGGACCUGCAGCUGUGUGGACAGCGCGGCCAGGAUACUGCUGGCGGAGAAGCUGGGAGGUGGUGGACUACAGCAACCACGCGGAGGCGUCGCGCGAUCCGGGCCACUACGUCGUGUUCUGGGAGCUCAACGCCUACGGCUUUGACGGCGUGCUGCGGAGCUGCUGCAACGUUCUGUAUGGGCUAGCUCUGAGUGUUUUGUUUAUCCUCCUAUCCAUGAUCCAUUGGCCAUGGCAUCAGGGGCAGUUGGGUGACCACAUGUCAUCUGGGGCCAUGUGACGAAGAUCACAAGUUGCUUGCACAGUUCGCGUCGUCUCUGGCCGACAGGACAGGAAGUGAGAGGGUGGCAAGUGCAGCAAAUUAUAAUCAUGGACUCAUGGUCAUGGUAUGGUAUCAGUAGUAUCUGUUACCUUCGGUGUUGCACGGCAUACCACAUCUGACUGAAGAUUUACGUGCGCUAUUAAACAGCAGGAAGGACGUCCAAUAAAUUGGCGGUCACAUUAUAUCAAGAUUUCAUUAUAUCUUUCCGGUGUUAGAGCAGAAAACUUUUUUUAUCCGUCUCCUUUAUUUAAGAUUAUUGGAAGGUAAUAUAUAUACCUCCCAAUGGGGAUGAGGUACUAUGUGCCACAUGGACAUGGGGUCUAGGUGAAGGAGCAAGAAGGGUACGGAGAAAUGGAGUACAGAGAAAGUGCCCAUUGCUGUUGCCUCAAUUAGAGGUGAUGAACACAGUCCAUGCUCACCACUUUAGAGCCUGUUCGUUUAUGGAUUGUGUCAGAUUGAGCUUGAGUGGAUUUUAAUCUCAAGCAAGUCGAAAUUCUCUCUAUUUUUUCUCAAUCCCAUCCAAACCAUAUGGAAUAAGAAUAACCGUUUUGUUCA